rnacentral:tRNA from 1 species
CCAAACUUAGUUUAUAGAAUAUCUCUUUGUUAAGGAGAAGGUUUAGUUUUGG